rnacentral:rRNA from 1 species
CCUCAAAUCAGGUAGGACUACCCACUGAACUUAAGCAUACUAAAACGGCGGGGGG